AUAUAACGAUGUGCUCUCAGCUCUGGACACCACCUUUCCCUUGGAGACAUUUCUGCUACCAGAAAGGGUGAGGGUUGCAGGUCAGUGCUCUUGGCCCCGGGGCACAGCUUGGCGAAGAGCUAUAUUGUUCAGAAUUCUUUUGUAUUCCUUCAGAACAUUGUUCUUCAAGAUAUAUGGGAUCGGGUUUCAGCUAAAGCACAAGAAAACUUGUAGAGGCUCAGGAGUACAAAAUAGAUCCCUGGUGACAAAAAUUCUGAAAUAUUUUCAUAGAAGAAAUUUGGGACAAGCUCCUGCUUCUGGGAGAUAUCUCGACUUCACUCUUCUCUGUCUAAUGCAUUAUGUACUUGGAUUAAUUAGAACAAAUGUGAUUUGCAUUGUCGAUCUCAAAAUACCUAAAAAGUAUACUUCAUAGCUACUAUUGAAAUGAUAAUAUUGCUAAUAAACUUAUGCUUAUGUAUCUGUCCUUGUAAAAUCUAGAUUUCUGGGGCAGCACACAAAGCUUUUCAAUAUUAUUUCAAAUUACUUUUGCUUUUUUUUUUCAAUCAGUGGUUGCCUGUUUGACAUUUAGAAAAUGCUAGCUAAUGAUAUUUACUUUUAUUUGGUGAAAACAAAGUGGUUUUGACACAGCUGGUCAUUCUGGUGCUUGGGAGAUAAACGAAGUGACUUGUUAC
rnacentral:lncRNA from 1 species